rnacentral:rRNA from 1 species
AACGAACGCUGGCGGCGUGUUUAAGACAUGCAAGUCGCACGGUGUCAUUUUGGUAGCAAUACUUGGAUGGCACAGUGGCGCACGGGUGAGUAACACGUGAAUGACAUGCCCUUCAGAGGGGGAUAGCCCAGGGAAACUUGGAUUAAUACCCCAUGGUCUCGCAAGAGUAAAGGUGGCCGCAAGGCUGUCGCUGGAGGAUUGGCUCGCGUUCUAUCAGCUUGUUGGCGGGGUAACGGCCCACCAAGGCUACGUCGGAUACCUGGUCUGAGAGGACGAUCAGGCACACUGGAACUGAGACACGGUCCAGACACCUACGGGUGGCAGCAGUCGAGAAUAAUUCACAAUGGGGGCAACCCUGAUGGUGCAACGCCGCGUGGAGGAUGAAGGUCUUCGGAUUGUAAACUCCUGUCAUCCGGGAGCAAGACCUGACGGUGAAUAGCCGGCAGGGUUGAUAGUACCGGAAGAGGAAGGGACGGCUAACUUCGUGCCAGCCGCCGCGGUAACAC